AGCAAAGAUCCUUGAACAAGGACAAAAAACUGAUGUCUGACCUAUGAAGGCAAUGGCUUUAGGGACACAAAAAGUGCACUUGAUUGCUGAGUCACCUCUGGAUUGUCACUGUCCCUCUGAUAUGUGCCCAGGCUGCAUCUCUGAGGGACCACCCAGCAAACAGGCACUGCCUGGGGGUCACCUGGGACUCCAGAACGAGGGAACUGCUGCAUGUGGGAUAUCAGCCCUGGGUGGGAGCAUCAGCUGGGGCCUGGAAAUGCACUGUUGUGCCUGCACGUGGAUUUGGAGCAGAUUUGGAACUGCUUCGUGUCACCUUUCCUUCCCUGUCCUGAGGUACCUCCUGCAUUGUUAUCCCUCCAGUUCAUUUGGAGAGACACCGAUGAUCC
rnacentral:lncRNA from 12 species